rnacentral:RNase_P_RNA from 1 species
GAAGUUCGCCAGGCAGUCGCUGCGCAUCUCGGUGCGUGGAGGAAAGUCCGGGCCCCGUAGAGCAGGAUGCCGGCUAACGGCCGGGCGUCGCGAGGCGACGGAAAGUGCAACAGAAAGCAUACCGCCGAUGGCUCCGCGAGGAGAUCAGGCAAGGGUGAAAUGGUGCGGAGCGCAAGCUCCGGGCGGGCGCGAGUCUGCCGGGUAAGAGCCCACCGCAGGACUGGCAACAGGACUGGCAUGGCAAACCCCAUCCGGGGCAAGGCCAAAUAGGGGAGCAAUGGCGCUGCUCGCGCUGCUCCCGGGUAGGCUGCUCGAGCGCCGUGGUAACACGGCGCCCAGAUGAAUGACUGCCCGGCGGUCGCGGUCACCCCGCGGCCGCUCGACAGAACCCGGCUUAUCGGCGGACUUCCUUU